rnacentral:rRNA from 1 species
GAUGAACGCUGACAGAAUGCUUAACACAUGCAAGUCUACUUGAAUUUGGGUUUUUAACUUAGGUUUGGGUGGCGGACGGGUGAGUAACGCGUAAAGAACUUGCCUCACAGCUAGGGACAACAUUUAGAAAUGAAUGCUAAUACCUAAUAUUAUGAUAAUAGGGCAUCCUAUAAUUAUGAAAGCUAUAUGCGCUGUGAGAGAGCUUUGCGUCCUAUUAGCUAGUUGGUAAGGUAAAGGCUUACCAAGGCGAUGAUAGGUAGCCGGCCUGAGAGGGUGGACGGCCACAAGGGGACUGAGAUACGGCCCUUACUCCUACGGGAGGCAGCAGUGGGGAAUAUUGGACAAUGGAGGAAACUCUGAUCCAGCAAUUCUGUGUGUGUGAAGAAGGUCUUCGGAUUGUAAAACACUUUUAGUUGGGAAGAAACAAA